GGGGCUGAUUCUGGAUUCGACGGGAUUUGCGAAACCCAAGGUGCAUGCCGAGGGGCGGUUGGCCUCGUAAAAAGCCGCAAAAAAAUAGUCGCAAACGACGAAACCUACGCUUUAGCAGCUUAAUAACCUGCUUAGAGCCCUCUCACCCUAGCCUCCGCUCUUAGGACGGGGAUCAAGAGAGGUCAAACCCAAAAGAGAUCGCGCGGAUGCCCUGCCUGGGGUUGAAGCGUUAAAACGAAUCAGGCUAGUCUGGUAGUGGCGUGUCCGUCCGCAGGUGCCAGGCGAAUGUAAAGACUGACUAAGCAUGUAGUACCGAGGAUGUAGGAAUUUCGGACGCGGGUUCAACUCCCGCCAGCUCCACCA
rnacentral:tmRNA from 2 species